rnacentral:lncRNA from 1 species
GUCUACUCAGACAUGGUUAAAGAUAUAAAGCCUUACCUUGGGCAGCCCUACUAAGAAGAGUUACAAGUUUAACAAAAGUCGCCAUUGAAAACCGUUUAAAUCUUUUUGUGGUGGUUAACAAGUAAUAUUAGUGACGGUUUUAACAAAAGAUAAAAUUAUUGGCGACGAAAUUUCACUAUACAAGUUCAUUUUUUCGUCACAAUAGUCCACCAUAUAAUGUCAUUUUUUUUUAUAGUGAGUGUUUUUCCUGAAAGAACCCAUAAUUUUAUAGUGAGUGUUUUUAUAGGGAUGGGAACGCCCUCCGCAGAUGCUCCACCUCUUUCCAAGACGUUUCCCUCUGAUCGCGUCCUGCCCAGCGGAUUAGAACCUGUUCAGGCAUCUUCCCUUUCCCCAGCAAGGAUCUUCUGUCGAGUAUUGCCUCAGGGUAUAAGAUUGGCUGAUUUCCUACUAAAAUUUUGGGCAAAGCCCCAAUUUUGUCCGGAGGUAACUUCCCUUUGUAUUUCUUGAGAAAACUAAUAUGAAAAACAUCAUGAAUCAAACAAUUAGGUGGUAAAUUAACCUUGUAAGCAACUUCACUUCUUUUAUGUAAUCUUGUAUGGUCCAUAAAAUGUUGCAGAAAGUUUAUGGUUGAGCCUCUGUGCUAUAGAUAUUUGUCUGUAGGGUUUUAAUUUGAUGAAAACCCAAUCCCCCACAGAGAAUUCAAUGUCUCUUCUAUGAAGGUCAGCUUGGCUCUUCAUUUUCUCCUUUGCUCUGUCUAGGUUAACCUUCACAGCUUCAAUCAUUUCCUGUCUCCUUAGCAAUUCUUCUUUAGCCUCUAGGUUAGAUGAACUCCCUUCCAUCUGUUCAAUAAAAGAGUUAGCUUCCCUUCCAUAAAGAGCCAUGAAGGGUGUCAUUCCUAUUUACACAUUAAAAGUGGAAUUGUGCCACAAUUCUGCCCAAGGAAGUAAUUGUAGCCAUUUCUUUGGUUGGUCAUAAACUAAGCAUCUCAAGAACAUUUCUAUACCUCUGUUAACCACUUCAGUUUGGCCAUCUUCUCUGGAUGAUAAGCUGAGGAUAGCUUUAGUGUAGUCCCACUCAAUCUAUUAAUUUCCUUCCAGAAGUUGCUAGUAAAUACUUUAUCUCUGUCAGACACUAUAGAUGCUGGAAUUCCAUGGAGUCUGAUAAUCUCUUGAACAAAAUAGUUUGCCACCAUCUUAGAGUUGAAUUAUGCUGGUAGAGCCCCCAAAUGGCAGAAUUUUGAUAAUCUGUCAACUACCACUAUAAUUACUGAUUUUCCCUUCACUAAUGGCAGGCUUGUUAUGAAAUCAGUAGAAAGAUCCUUCCAAACUGAAUCAGGUGUAGGUAAAGGUCUUAAAAGACCUUGGGGCUUCAUAGUUGGUGUCUUCAUUCUUUGGCAGACGACACACUCAUCAACAUACUUUCUGAUUUUUUUGGGCAUGCCUUUCCACCAGAAUAUUAAUUUUAUUCUCUUUAUAGUUCUUUCCACCCCUGAAUGACCCCCAAUUAUACUUUCAUGAUAUUCUAUCAAGAUUUCUUUAAUGAGGUCUGAAUUGUGUGACACUAUGUAUCUGUCUCCCAUGAGUAGUAAUCCUUCCCUGAUAUUCAUAAAACUAUUUUUUCCAGUCCCUUUAAGGAUUGCUUCCUUCAUUUCUAACAAAUCUGCCCUUGAAUUUUGUUCCUCCUUUAUCUUUUCAAUUAGUUUACUUAUUACAGCACACAAAUUCAGAAUUGAUCCCUCUUGAACCUCUUUUUCUAGUUCCUCACUCUCAAAUUGCCUUGAGAGAGCAUCUGCUGCCUUAUUUUCUUUCCCGGGCUUGUAUUUAAUUGAGUAGUCAAAUCCCAACAGUUGGCAUAGAAAUUUCUGUUGAUCUGGAGUUUGUAUGAUCUGGCCUAUCAUAUUUUUUAUGCUCUGGCGGUCUGUGUGAAUCACAAAAUGGUGGCCUAAUAGAUAGUGCCUCCAUUUAGCAACAGCUUGUGUUAUAGCUAGCAUCUCCUUUGCAUAUGUUGAAGCUAAAAGCAUCCUCCCAGUAAUUUUAGAACUAAAAAAAGCAAUGGGAUGGCCCUCCUGACUAAGAAUUGCUCCCACUCCAUUAAGACAAGCAUCAGUCUCAAUAGCAAAAGGCUUAGAGAAAUCAGGGUGGUGUAAGACUGGAGCUGAAGUGAUAGCUUUCUUUACUUCCAUGAAGCUCUUCUCUGCUAAACCAUUCCAUAUGAACUGGUCUUUUUUUAACAAGUCAGUCAUUGAUGCUGCUAGAUGAGAAUAAUUUUUAAAAAACUUUCUAUAAUAACCUGAUAGGCCUAGAAAUCCCCUUAGUGCCUUGAUAUUCCUUGGUGUAGGCCAGUUCACAAUCGAUGAUACCUUUUCUGGAUCAGGGUUGAUUCCUUCUUCUGAUAUGAUAUGCCCCAGGAAUUGUAACUCAGUUUGAAAAAACAAGCAUUUGGAUUGCUUGGCAUAUAGCUGAUGAUCUCUGAGUGUUCCCAAUACUGUUUUGAGAUUGCCAAUGUGAUCCUCCUUGGAAGAACUGAAAAUUAAGAUAUCAUCAAAAAAAACAAGAACAAAUUUUCUUAAAUAUGGUGUGAAUAUUCUGUUCAUAGUGGCUUGGAAGGUGGCUGGUGCAUUGGUGAGGUCAAAAGGCAUCACUAGGAAUUCAUAAUGCCCUUGAUGAGUCCUAAAAGCUGUUUUUUCCACAUCAUUAGGAUUUAUUAAGAUCUGAUGAUAGCCAGACCUUAAAUCCAGUUUUGAAAAUACUUUAGCUCCCUUUAAUUCUGCCAGAAUUUCAUCUACUAUUGGUAUAGGAAAUUUGUCCUUGACAGUGAUUUUAUUCAAGGCCCUAUAAUCAACACAUAACUUCCAACUUCCAUCUUUUUUUUUAACUAACAAGACUGGGGAAGAGUAGGGACUGCUGCUUUCUCUAACUAUUUUCUGCCUUAACAUUUCUUGCACAAUAUUUCUCUCAAUUUCAUCUUUUUGAAAUUGGGCCUGCCUGUAUGGCCUUACACUAACACGGUCUGCCAAUUUUUCUAGUGUGAUUUUAUGGUAUUGGGAUCUAGGAGAUGGUAAUCCAAUAGGUUCCUCAAACACAUCAGAAAAUUCAGAUUUGAUAGAGGAUAGAAUUUCCUCCCUGUUUUCAAUUUCAGACUUGUCAUUCUGUUUAUCAGAGUUGGUCUGCCCAAUAUACUCAAACCUGUAGAAAAAUGCUCCCACAAUAGUGGCUGCUAGACAAUUCAUCUCAUUCUUUGAUAGUUGUUCAUCUGAUAAAAAUUGGUUCCCCCACCCAUUUAAUUAUUUUACCUUUCCAGUUGAACUCAAUGUUCAUAUCAAUGUAGUUGGAUAAAACUGAUCCAACAGUUUUAAACCAUUGAAUGCCCAAAACAAGGUUAGCUCCUUCCAUAUUUAGAACAAACACAUCAAUUGUCAUUGUGACACCUUGGACAAUCAUCAUAACUUGUUUACACAUUUUAUCACACCUCAAAGAGACCCCACUUCCUGUUGAAACUAAGAAUGAGGGAAUAGGAGUUAUUGGUAGUCUCAAAUGCCUAACCACCUCUUCCUGAAGGAAAUUGUGUGUGGAUCCAGAAUUCAGCAAAACAGACACUCUCAAGUUAUUAAUACUUGCUGAUAAUUUCAGAGUUCUUAGGCUUAGUUGGCCUUGUAGUGAGUGGUAGCUUAUGUGAGUGUGCUCAGCCCUUAUCUCCUCCACAACAUCCACAAAUUGUUCUUCAUCUUCAUUAGGCUCUGUAUACUCAGCAAAACACUCUCCAUCAGUUGAUAGAAGGAAUAAUCUUCCUUUGCACUUGUGACCUCUUUCCCAUUUUUCUGUACAAUUAAAACACCCAUUUUUUGAUCUUUUUAUUCUCAUCUCAGCAGGGGUGAGUUUCUGUCUCAACAUAGGUCCUUUUUGAGGUUCAGUUGGUGGUAGUGCUAAUAUCUUUCUGUGUGGUGGUAUGUGAGACUGUAACGAGCUAGAUGGUUUAGAAUUAACCUCUGCCACUAUAGAUCUUGAAGAUGGGCAGUACCUCACAAUAUCAGUUGUCAUGUCAUUUCUUUCAUACAGUUGGGCCAGAGCAAAUGCCUCCACUAAAUUUUCAGGUCUAGCUUUAAUAACAUCCUUCUGAAUUUCAUUCUUUAGUCCAGACAUUUCUUUCAUAACCCUUGGGUUGACAUCAGUUACUUUGUUAGACAAAGCUUCAAAUUGAUGUUGGUUUCACAGAGCCAGUCUGUAUCAACUUACUCAAUCUGCCAGCAGGUAUUUCAUAUGCUGAAGUCCCAAACCUCUUCACCAGAUCAUCAAGAAAAUCUGACCAUGAUUUUAGUGCAUUAUUAUUAUCUGCCCAUAGAAGCCACUCUAAAGCUUCUCCUUCCAUAUUAAAUGUAGCCACUGUAAUUCUCUCCCCAUCGGGUAUAUUAUGGUACCUCAGAUAUUUUUUUGCUUUAUAAAUCCAGCCUUGGACAUUCUCACCAUCAAACUUAGGCAUCUCUGUCCUGAUUGAUUUGUACUUUAAUUCCUGUUUUUGCUGUCCCUGAGUUUGUGGAUUACUUAUGAGUAAGUGUCUUACUCAUCUUUGACAAUGUCUGUUCCAUGUUUCUUAGUCUCUCGGCUUCAGUGUCCUGUUUGAUCUGUAGUCUCUUGAGUAGGACAUCCAUGGAUUCAGCCAUAAAAAAUUUUUGCUGAAAUCAAUUUUUUUUUUUGUAUAUAUAUCACUGAAUAGAAGAACAAAAGUAAAUAUAGGGAUAAUUAAAUUACGUCCCUGAUUCGGAUCUCUUAAGCAGAGAACAAGCUUUUGAAGAGUUUUUUUGUAGAUUUAUAGGUUUACAAAACCUUCUUCAGUUCCUCCCCAAUAGUGUUCAGUGAUCUGAAAUUUAAGUUAUUGUAUUUAAUAACUGAAUAUUUACUAAAUGUAAUGAGAUUUAUACGUUCCUGAUUGGGAUCUCUUAAGCAGAGAACAUGCUUUUGAAUUGUUUUUUCUUUUCUUCAGGAUGUAAUCUCCCUCUUCUAAAGAUCUUCAGAUGAUCCCCAGAUUGUAAGUUGAAACCAGUAGGCGAGAGGACUUGAAAGCAUCAAUGAUGGAGUGUUCUUGGAUGAAAGGAUUGAGAGAAAGAGUUGGCGGCUGGAAAUUGAUGGAACAGUACCUAGAUUAGGGUUGCUUCAACCCAUAUCUGUUUUAAGUAAUUUUGUAAAAUAUUGAUUGCCAAUAAAAUAAAAGAGUUUUCCCUUUUAUAGGGUUACACGUUUACAGUUCUUCAAUAACUAAAUAGAACUUGCAGACUAACUUAACAAACGGAAUUAACGAUUACUAACAUAAACUAUAACUACUCUAAAAUAAAACCCUUUAAUCGCGU